UACGAAGGGGGCUAGCGUUGCUCGGAAUCACUGGGCGUAAAGGGUGCGUAGGCGGGUCUUUAAGUCAGGGGUGAAAUCCUGGAGCUCAACUCCAGAACUGCCUUUGAUACUGAAGAUCUUGAGUUCGGGAGAGGUGAGUGGAACUGCGAGUGUAGAGGUGAAAUUCGUAGAUAUUCGCAAGAACACCAGUGGCGAAGGCGGCUCACUGGCCCGAUACUGACGCUGAGGAGCGAAAGCCAGGGGAGCAAACGGG
rnacentral:rRNA from 1 species